CCUAGUGGUGACAUCAUUGAGGCAUCUUGGUCAAUGGACGCAAGUCUGAACCAGCCAUGCCGCGUGCAGUCUUCCUUCUCUCUUCUUUUUCCCCUUCUUUUUUCCUCUUUUCCACCCCUCUACUUUUAUCGGGUUGAAAGUAUCGUACGAAUAAGGAUCUGCUAACUCCGUGCCAGCCGCCUCUGUAAUACUUCGGAUCCGAGCGUUAUCCGGAUUUAUUGGGUUUAAAGGGUGCGUAGGCGGUUUGAUAAGUUAGAGGUGAAAUGUCGGGGCUCAACCCAGAAACUGCAGAUAAUAAUGUUGGACUAGAGAAUAGUUGCGGUAGGCGGAAUGUAUGGUGUAGCGGUGAAAUGCUUAGAGAUAAUAAAGAACACCGAUUGAGAAGGCAGCUUAAAAAACUAUAUAUGACGUUGAGGCACGAAAGAGGGGGGAGAAAACAGGAGUAGAGAAAAGAGGAGUC
rnacentral:rRNA from 1 species